UUGAUAAUUCAAUCUCACUCGGACAGUAUCGCAUUACCAGAGUUAAAGUUUGACGAGUCCAUGACAUCGCCAAAGAAACCAGAGGUUCAACAAGGGGUGUGAAUGAGGCCGAAGCCUAACACUGUAAUGAUCCUUCCGCAGGUUCACCUACGGAAA
rnacentral:misc_RNA from 1 species